UUGGAUGACGCCCAUUGGUUCGAAUUAGCUAGUUGGCGGGGUAACGGCCCACCAAGGCGACGAUCGAUAGCUGGUCUGAGAGGAUGAUCAGCCACACUGGAACUGAGACACGGUCCAGACUCCUACGGGAGGCAGCAGUAGGGAAUAUUGGACAAUGGGCGCAAGCCUGAUCCAGCCAUGCCGCGUGAGUGAAGAAGGCCCUCGGGUUGUAAAGCUCUUUUGUUGGGGAAGAAAAGCAGUUGGUUAAUACCCGAUUGUUCUGACGGUACCCAAAGAAUAAGCACCGGCUAACUUCGUG
rnacentral:rRNA from 1 species